CGUGGGCUUGCUGGCUUCAGGAGUGAAGCUGCAGACCUUCAAGAAAGAAGUCAGCAGGGGUUCUAAUAGAGAUCGCAUUCAAUCUGUACAUCAAAUUUGGUAUUGAAUCCACCUGGAAUUUCCUUGUGUUUGUGGUUCAAGGU